AGAGUUUGAUCCUGGCUCAGAUUGAACGCUGGCGGUAUGCUUAACACAUGCAAGUCGAACGGUAGCAGGCCUUCGGGCGCUGACGAGUGGCGGACGGGUGAGUAACGCGUAGGAAUCUGCCUCAUAGUGGGGGACAACGUGGGGAAACCCACGCUAAUACCGCAUACGCCCUACGGGGGAAAGCGGGGGAUCUUCGGACCUCGCGCUAUGAGAUGAGCCUGCGUUAGAUUAGCUAGUUGGUAGGGUAAAGGCCUACCAAGGCGACGAUCUAUAGCUGGUCUGAGAGGACGAUCAGCCACACUGGGACUGAGACACGGCCCAGACUCCUACGGGAGGCAGCAGUGGGGAAUAUUGGACAAUGGGCGGAAGCCUGAUCCAGCAAUACCGCGUGUGUGAAGAAGGCCUUAGGGUUGUAAAGCACUUUCAAUUGGGAGGAAAACCUACCGGUCAAUACCCGGUAGCUUGACAUUACCUUUAGAAGAAGCACCGGCUAACUCCGUGUCAGCAGCCGCGGUAAUACGGAGGGUGCGAGCGUUAAUCGGAAUUACUGGGCGUAAAGCGUGCGUAGGCGGUUCGUUAAGUCAGAUGUGAAAGCCCUGGGCUCAACCUGGGAACUGCAUUUGAAACUGGCGGACUAGAGUUUAGUAGAGGGGAGUGGAAUUUCAGUGUAGCGGUGAAAUGCGUAGAUUCGGGAGGAACACCAGUGGCGGGCCUUCUGGGCUGUACCUGACGUUGAGACCCGAAAGCGUGGGGAGCGAAACGGAUAGAUACCCUGGUAGUC
rnacentral:rRNA from 1 species